CAGAGCAAAACAGGAAUGCCAUCUAUGGUUCAUUAGGUUUUAUAUUAACCAUCUGAUGAAAAUGAUAUGUGGGAAUAUUAAGUAUUAACAGUAAAUGGCAGUCAAUAUGAAAAAAGUUGCUGAUAUGUUUGCCUUUGUAAUCAUUUCUAGGUUCAGGUGCACAUUAAGAAUCUGAUUUCUAAUUCCCAGAGAGAAGUCCUGAGCAAAAAAGACUCAGAAGAUGAGCAGAUCUUGAAUGAAAUGGGAUUUAAGACUCCUAGGAACAAAGGAAAUGUAAGUGUUAAUUUCUGUAUGUGAAGUUGGGAAAGCUGCAUUUCUUCUGAAGGUGAGAGGCAUUAUUUCCAGAGCUGCUCUGUGUGAUUCAUUCCACUGUGGGCACACAGAGAGAGCCCAGCAGUGGCUGAGGGUCGGGCACACAUGAAGCAGCCGUCAUCUCUGCUUCAGCAAAGUCCAGUCCAAACAGACCAAACGUACAGGGUAACAGAGGCACACGGUGACACCCACUGAUUUACAGGCACAGAGACAGGCUGUGCCAGCGUUGGGAACUUCACCUGUGUUUUCCUAGUGCCAGCCAACACGUAAUCUUGGAAUCACCUUCUUCUGAAUAUGGCAGAACACCAAAGGUGCUGAAAUCCUACAGUGAGCUCUGAUGCACUCCGUUACCUAUUGUCCAGUGUAUAAAACACACCAACGGCUUAGCCUGGUGCUUGCUUUCCAUUUAUCCUGGUCCCCAUAUCUUACAGCCUCACCAGCCUAUGAAAUUGCGACUACACCGGUUCAUUUCUUGUUUCAUUACAAAAUCAAUACUAUUGUGAUAACACUGAUUUCAUAAAAGACUGUCUAAGGCCACAGUCCCUUCUCUGCCACAGGAAGGACACUUCUCACAUCUACCGUGGCUCACUUUGAACAAGCAAUUCUAGUCCAGGGGGUAAGGCCCAUAGUUGGAAACCACAGAACUCACAGCUUUUGUCCUUCCUCAGUUAUUAACUUGAUCUUGCUCUGCCUUAAAUGGUGAUGGAAGCCAUUUCCACUUGUUAUUAGCGAUGUAUUUUUCUGCAGCACUGUGAAUCAAUGGUACGUUACAUGUUUACUUUAAUGAAAAAAAUAAAUUAUCUACACAGGUUAUUGUAUUGGCUAACUACGUAGAAUUAUUAUGUAGAUACACUUCCUCUGCAAUUUCUUCCCUCAAAAAACAUAUUCCGAGAACCAGUAUUGAUUAAGCAGUAUUGAAAUGAAUACAAAAAUAUAAACAUUUGAUAAAAGAAAUGUGAAAGUACACAGGCAGACACAAUGAUGAAUACCAAUAAUAACCCAGAAACGCUCAUUCCUAUCGGAACACACAUUUACCCGCUAAUCUUGUAAUUCACAAUGAAGUCCCAUAGCUGCAGGCUUUCCACAAUGCAGAAACUGAAUUCAGUUGUUCCUGCAGACUCUUUAGACUGGCAAGCCUACCAAGGAAGUAAGAUGCAUGUGUGUUUGAUUCACUUACACCGCAGAAACAAACCAACAUCGUCGAUAAGGAUUUUACAGACAGAAUGUAACUUAGAAGACAAGUAUUAACUAAUUAGAUUGUCAAGUUAUACGCACAAUAAGGGGUUUUUGUUCUGUCGAAAUAUUAUUACACGUCCAGAAUUUUUGUCCUGAUGGCUAACUGCAGUAGGACGCUGGGCUCUAAAGUGCUAAAGUUUCUGCAGUUUACUGUGUGAUUUACAAAUUAAUGUUUUUAUUUUUCUGUUUUGGGUUGUGGUUCAUCUAUUUUGGGGUAUCGGGCAUAGUCAAGAAAUAUGGAAAUGUUUUAGUGAAAUUUAUUACUCACUGUCCGUCUUUGUAACCCUUUGCUGUUCCCCCAAAAUGAGAAGGCUGGUGCAUAGUUCCACGCUUUCUGUUCAAAUUAUUUUUGUCUGGCUACAAUAAUGAUAGAAAAUUCAUAUUUAUUUUUUUUUUAAGGACAGUGCAGUGCAAUGAAUGUACUGGAUUCCAAGUACAUGUCUACAGGCACAAUCAAUUCAUGGCUGGGGGGAAGAGACUUUAAAUUUCUGAGAAAUGCACCUAUGAGAGCAUUAAAUAACUCACAAAUAAAGCACAGACAAUGGGGGCACCUACUUAAAAUAAUAGCUUAGUUGCCAAUAUGAUGAUCAACAUGAUUUUCUGUGCUACUUAAAAUCCUUUUCUCUUUAUUGGCUGUAUUUAGCAGGUUAUAAACUGCCAAACAUGUAUUCCUAAGUCUUUGAAAUUCAAGUUUCUGUAUGCUUUCUUUGAGUUUCAUGUUCUUAGCAGAGGAGAAAAAUCACAAUAAUUAAAGCUUAAAAUAUUCUCAUUUCAUGGUGUGGCUAACAAGUGAAACUACAAGUAAUGAUGUAAUCUAACAUGUCAAAAAAGAAAAUGAAAAGAGGAGACAGAAGGCAGGAUGGAGCCAAGGGAUGCGAUGUGCCAUGUCAUCUUCUAAUUAACUAACUGAUCCUUUAAACUGUCAAAAUCAGCAAGGAACUCCAUGGCCCAGUGUCUUAUUAAUAUUCAUACUAGGCCACUAGGAGCUAUGAUUCCAGUCCCAGUGGUUAUAGUUAAACAUUUAAAAAAAAAAAAGCCAGGCUAGCCAAGGCUUCAGCAGCUCCACAUUCAUAAGGAAAUGAAGGCAGGCCACCCUGCUUUCUACAAACCUCUGCUGGGGGAAAUUCUCUGAGGAUGCAUAUUGAUUUCUGAAUUAUUAUGGGGGUUGUAUAUUGAAAAAACAAUUAUUUUUUUUCUUGCUAUGAGCUGCCACAUUGUUAAUCACAUUGAGAUCCGUGUUGUCAAAUGAAAGAAAGAUGCAUGUAACGUUUUGUAAUACGAGCCCAUUUUUAAUUUUGAACACACCAAAUGAAUACGCAGUUAAUAAAACCCUGUCACUUAGAGCAAUGGCUGAAUUCAUUUUGCCUUGUAGGAUGCAAUUCAGGAUUGUUUUUGCAGAAAUCUGGGGCCCGCAAGAAAAAUAAUCUUCCAUAAUCUUCUUAGAAUACAAUUAUUCUCUUACAUUUCAGCCUGCCAGUCUUUCCCCACUCCCACUAAGUGGAGUUUCCUGAACCUUGAAGUCUAAGGCAGCAGCUGACAUUUGGUUUCUCCAUUCAUUUUCUGUUUAAUUCUUCAUGGCAGGGAGAUGCUUUUAUUUUUUAAUAAAAAGAAAUCUGUUUUCUCUGUAUUAUGUAGUAUAUUUUGGGGCUCAGUGCAGGCCGGCCACUGACCAGGAUGUUCCUGUCUGCAGCGGAAGAUGGGGACGGGGACACCCAUCAGCAGCACCCGCUGAAGUCAGGGGGAGUUUCUGCACUGGCCUUGUGGAGCUUCCUGUCAGCAGGAAGAAGGGGAGGCUGAUGGUGGCAGGGUGGCUGUGCUUGAUACAAGCCUACAGCAAGGGCUCAGCAGCAAUGACCCACACGAGCCGCUGGCCCAGCCCAGGACGGUCCCUGCCACCGAAGUCAGAUCUGAAGAAUUUGCUGUUUCCCAUCUGCAGCCUUCAUCUUCCCGUAAGGAAGUUCAUGUAAGGGUGUGUUUAUAUAUAUAAAAGGUAUUAUCAUUUAAUAUAUUAUCUUGGCCUUUACAGGCUUGUCCUAUACGUAGCCACGAGAGUGUGACAUUUGUUUAUAGCUGAGACCUGCUUUAAGUGAAGGGCAUCUCACACAGCAAUUUGUCAGUGGCUAAAGAGCCCGGGGCUAGGAGUAGACAUUCACUUACAGAUUCUUUGGACUAUUUUAAACAGGCCUUUGGGACCUCCCUGCUGACCAGCCCAUAACAUGCCCUUCUGUAGCAUCUCACUGUGCUAUUUCUUUUAAUUGACUAACCUCAACACUGGCUGUUCAAAAUCACUUUAACCCAAACAUGCCCCCGGUCUGAAGCUCCUAAUGACCUUCCCCUGGCCCUAAACACAUAUGGCUGAGACAAUGCAAACAUCAUUUGGAAGAUGAGUAAAUUCAAUAACUCAAUUACCACCGCACCAAAAUAACAUUUAUCAAACACUGGCCACAGCGGUUUGUAUCUUUAGCUCUCUGUGUUUCAGUGGCACGGCAUUUGGGUGAAAGUAACUAAUCGAUUUAGGAAUGAUUAAAUAGAAAUUUGUAACACUUGGCAUUAUUAAACCUUCAAUCUUCAUUACAACUGCUUAACGAUUACAUCAUGGGCUGUGUAAAAUAAAUUAACAGUAGCUGGAAACAAUCUCAUCAUAAAUAAAGAGAGCAAAGGUAUUAGACUAGCGUUCAAUAGGAAGUCUAAUAGAAAUACAUAUAUUGUGGCAUUAUUAGUGGAUCGGACAUACUGAGGUUUGGAGAAGUUUUAAGACUGAAAAAACGUGCAAAAGCUGAACCCUACUUUACAACCCCCCAUUACCUACCAUUGAACUCCUUGAUUUUAAAAGGCCUAAUUUAGUGGCAGAGCCAGCACCCCGAGGGCUAGAGAUGACUAACGGGUCACCCCCUGUAUCCUCCUCUAAAGCAGAAGAAACGCUUCCUUUAGAAGCAGCCUGGAUCCCACGUCCUCCUUGUGGGCUCCCACACCCUCACCCUUUGUCUGAAGCGCAGUAAGGUUAUGUACUUAUUUAUGAAAUAGCACAACGGAAUUUUUUUUUUUGAUCUAUUCUAGCAAGAAUGAGGAGUCAGGGGUGUGAAAGAAGUCUGGUGGGUCCAGCCUUUUGCACUGUCAGCAGGACCAUGCUGAGAUCAGAGAGGACUUUCCAGGUAGCUGUAACCCCUAUUUGCUCUUCCCUCUUUGGGCUUAUGCCAAAUUCAGUUUGCCUGGUAUUGGAGAAUGUGGGCCAGAAGGUUCCAACACCAAAGCUUUAAUCUCCAUCACUAAAAUGUAAAUAGCCUCUACCUUUACAUUCAGGUUCAAAAAAAUAAAGCAGCCUUUUCUUUCAUCUCCUACUGCCAUCUCUUUUAGGAGGUGAAAAAGAAGCAAUAAACCUGGUUCUGAAUGACUAAUGAAGUUAAAACAAAACAGCAAUUAAAAAGAAUUAACAAAUAUUUAUCAAAUAUUAUUGUCCUAUUUAGAAAGGGUUAUACAACACAGACUGUUUUCCAACACAUCAACCAUUACCGUUUCAGUGAAAAAUAAUUUAAAUCACGACUCUCCUCCUGUUAAAACUGGAAUGUAAAUUUAAGUCACCAAACCCAAUUUCUAUGCUAUGACAUAUAAGAAAUAAUAUAUCACAUAUUAUUGACAAAGAUAAAUAUAGUCCCUUGCUUACUUUUCGGGAAAUGAAGCAAGAUGGCUGCAUCAAAAUGGCUCAACCCUAUCUUCCCUUAUCAACCCUUUCUUCCAGGCUCAAGCAUGUAGCAAAUGCCAUUAUUAUGUUCAUUGACUUGUGUGUGUACUGAAUCAGAACUAAAACAACUCAUUUCAUAAAAUGACAGAUAUAUUGUUACAAUAAAAUGUUUGGACCCUUUCUGUAAUUCCAAAGUAGGGUUUUUUUCUUUCAAUGGUGUAUUUAGAAAAUUUAAAGGUGAAAUUUGUAUAAAUUGUUACUAAGUGUAUUGCAGUCAUUAACAGUGAAAUAUAUAAAACACUUUCCCCCUACAGAUGGAGAUGUGUACCACACAUCUUCUCAUGUACAA